UGCCCAGCAACUUCUACCCCUACCUCCUCGUGGUACUGGCCGGGGUAUGAGUAACCUAGGGGAAGAUCGGGUAAUAAACCCCCCGAUGGGAACUUUGGUCGUAUGCUGACAGGGAACG
rnacentral:ribozyme from 1 species